UCCCACAACUGAAUUCAGUCAAAAAGGAUUAAAUAGUGGCUACACUGAGACACAGGGGAUGCUUCCACGACAGCAAGUUUAUUGAAGUGGUGACAAUGAGACCUGUAACACUU
ensembl:snoRNA